UGGUAGCGACAGUUGGUCUGAGGAAAGGGUUAGAAGAAGAACUCAUGUGGCGGCCAUCUUGUGAGGUGAAGACAUCAGGCCUGAGUAAAGACACUUUGGGUUAUCCCAUUAAAUCUGAAUACCAGUGCCAUGCCGAGUGGUGUAUCUACUACACACUUCCUUUCCCCCGAAUCUGUUAUGUGAUAUCAUCAUUGGAAGCAACCAUGAUGCUUGAUUGACUGAAAUAUCCAGAUACUCCAUUGCAACAAUCAAUUGGGCAAAUUAUACGGAAGGAAACGAGCUAUUUGCCAUCGUGACCAGAAAGAAGAAUGUACAAAGAAAGAUUUCGGAGAAUGUAAAUGACUGUAUGCCAGAGAGACUUGUAGAGACCCAGCAAUACCAUGGGAGUUACAGACUGAUGUGAUGACAAAAGACACAUUUUAUAAAAGCGCAUUAGGCUGGGAAUUUAAAUCCAAUCUCUGGAAGUAGUACUGUUAAACAAUUAUGGAUUUAAGGAGCCUGAGCAGAAUACAAAGCAGUCGCUGACUCCUUGAGUAAAGCCUUCUGAUAACUAUUGGAUGGUGCAGACGAGGAAGGUUGGUGUUACUGUUGAUACAAAGGCGCUCUUUUCAAGUGGUUUGUCGGCUUUCAUUAAAAUGCAUGUUUAUGGAUUUACUGUA